rnacentral:rRNA from 1 species
CACGUAGGCGGAUUGUUAAGUCAGAGGUGAAAUCCCGGAGCUCAACUUCGGAACUGCCUUUGAUACUGGCAAUCUAGAGUCCGGAAGAGGUUAGUGGAAUUCCCAGUGUAGAGGUGAAAUUCGUAGAUAUUGGGAAGAACACCAGUGGCGAAGGCGGCUAACUGGUCCGGUACUGACGCUGAGGUGCGAAAGCGUGGGGAGCAAACA